CUUGUACUGUGAAACUGCGAAUGGCUCAUUAAAUCAGUUAUCGUUUAUUUGAUAGUACCUUACUACAUGGAUACCUGUGGUAAUUCUAGAGCUAAUACAUGCUAAAAACCCCGACUUCAGGAAGGGGUGUAUUUAUUAGAUAAAAAACCAACGCCCUUCGGGGCUCCUUGGUGAAUCAUAAUAACUUAACGAAUCGCAUGGCCUUGCGCCGGCGAUGGUUCAUUCAAAUUUCUGCCCUAUCAACUUUCGAUGGUAGGAUAGUGGCCUACCAUGGUGGCAACGGGUAACGGGGAAUUAGGGUUCGAUUCCGGAGAGGGAGCCUGAGAAACGGCUACCACAUCCAAGGAAGGCAGCAGGCGCGCAAAUUACCCAAUCCCGAUACGGGGAGGUAGUGACAAUAAAUACUGAUACGGGGCUCUUUUGGGUCUCGUAAUUGGAAUGAGAACAAUUUAAAUCCCUUAACGAGGAACAAUUGGAGGGCAAGUCUGGUGCCAGCAGCCGCGGUAAUUCCAGCUCCAAUAGCGUAUAUUAAAGUUGUUGCAGUUAAAAAGCUCGUAGUUGAACCUUGGGUCUGGCUGGCCGGUCCGCCUCACCGCGAGUACUGGUCCGGCUGGACCUUUCCUUCUGGGGAACCUCAUGGCCUUCACUGGCUGUGGGGGGAACCAGGACUUUUACUGUGAAAAAAUUAGAGUGUUCAAAGCAGGCCUUUGCUCGAAUACAUUAGCAUGGAAUAAUAGAAUAGGACGUGUGGUUCUAUUUUGUUGGUUUCUAGGACCGCCGUAAUGAUUAAUAGGGAUAGUCGGGGGCGUCAGUAUUCAGCUGUCAGAGGUGAAAUUCUUGGAUUUGCUGAAGACUAACUACUGCGAAAGCAUUCGCCAAGGAUGUUUUCAUUAAUCAGGGAACGAAAGUUAGGGGAUCGAAGACGAUCAGAUACCGUCGUAGUCUUAACCAUAAACUAUGCCGACUAGGGAUCGGACGGGAUUCUAUAAUGACCCGUUCGGCACCUUACGAGAAAUCAAAGUU
rnacentral:rRNA from 1 species